rnacentral:rRNA from 1 species
UACAGAGGGUGCAAGCGUUGUUCGGAAUUAUUGGGCGUAAAGCGAGUGUAGGCGGUUAUCUAAGUCUGGUGUGAAAGCCCGGGGCUCAACCUCGGAAGUGCACUGGAUACUGGAUAACUAGAGGGCGAUAGAGGGGAUCGGAAUUAAUGGUGUAGGGGUGAAAUCCGUAGAUAUCAUUAGGAACACCGAAAGCGAAGGCUGAUCCCUGGGUCGCAACUGACGCUAAGACUCGAAAGCAUGGGUAGCAAACAGG